rnacentral:miRNA from 1 species
GGCCUCUCUCGGAGGUUUCA